UACGUAGGGUGCAAGCGUUGUUCGGAAUUACUGGGCGUAAAGCGUGCGCAGGCGGCUGCUCAAGUCAGGGGUGAAAGCCCAGAGCUCAACUCUGGAAUUGCCUUUGAGACUGAGUGGCUUGAGUACGGGAGAGGUGAGUGGAAUUCCCAGUGUAGAGGUGAAAUUCGUAGAUAUUGGGAAGAACACCGGUGGCGAAGGCGGCUCACUGGCCCGGAACUGACGCUGAGACGCGAAAGCGUGGGGAGCAAACAGG
rnacentral:rRNA from 1 species